GCAAACUUGGUCAUUUAGAGGAAGUAAAAGUCGUAACAAGGUUUCCGUAGGUGAACCUGCGGAAGGAUCAUUAACGCGCUACGGAGGUCUCUUCGAAGGGGGGAUCUUACGUCUGCCCACCCUUGAUUACUUGACCUGUUGCUUUGGCGGGUUCCGCCGCAAGGCGGUCUGAAAAGAAGCUCGAGCUUUCAGGCUCGAGUCCGCCAGAGUUCCACUAAAUUCUGGAUAAAAACGUUGUGCUGUCUGAGCGUGCAAGCGCGCAAAUUUAUACAAAACUUUCAACAACGGAUCUCUUGGUUCUGGCAUCGAUGAAGAACGCAGC
rnacentral:misc_RNA from 1 species